GUUCUUCCAAGUGGUUUUGAUACGUCCGCUGACCGGACGUUACAAGGACUUUCCUCUGAUGAUGCUGGCUUCUCUGGUGUUGACUACUUCUUACGGGAUUGCUACAUCUAUGACGGAGAAGUGGCACCUUUACGUUUACGCUAUCACCAAAAACUUCGGAGUUAUCCUGAGGAAUGUUGUCAUCGUGGCAGCCUUGUCAAAAGCGUCACCUAGAGAGGACACAGGCGCUGUGAUGGGUUUGUUAUCGAUGGUUGCGCAUCUGACGCAGGUCGUCUCUCCACCAAUCAGCACCUAUGUUCUCGAUCACGUGGGUUACCAGUUUUUAGGAGCUACCAGUGCCACU